ACUUGAGAUAUAGUUUUUUGUUUUUUUUUUUUCCCCUGUCCCUUGGAUAUUCCACGCAAGAACACUGGAGUGGGUUGCCAUUUCCUUCUCCAAUGCAUGCAAGCAUGCUAAGUCGCUUCAGUCAUGUCUGACUGUGUGUGACCCCAUGGACUGCAGCCCACCAGGCUUCUCUGUCCACGGGAUUCUCCAGGCAAGAGUACUGGAGUGGGUUGCCGUUUCCUUCUCCAGAGAUAUAGUUUAUAUUUCAAUCUCUGAGUGGAGACAAUAACAGGGCAUUUUGAAUUGGGAAAUGUAACUCACCUCAGUGUAACUGAGGUUCUCUUUGAAAGUCACCCCUUAAGACAACUUGCCAUUUAUGAUGCUUCUGUUGAGAAAGCCCCUGGCCCUGGGACACUAGGGGGCAGAAAUGAUCCUGUCGGUGAGUACGGACGGCUGCUUUGGCUGCCAUGCCACUGAGCACUCAGGAACAUAACGAGUCCCCUUCUCGUCCCCAACCCCUGCUCCUCCUCAGUCCUUGUGCAAACACUCAGGGCAGCCUUCUGGAGUCUAGCUACCCUCCCACAGGCAGGGAGCAGAGAAAAGUUUGAUAGAAACUUGGCUUGUUCAGCUUUACAGAACAAUUGCCCACAUCUCUCAGGGUUGGCAAAUUGCCCCAGAGAUUAAUUUACAUUGUAUUUUAGAAAUGAGAAUUCCAUUAGUCUCUCUUGAAAAAGAGAGGCCUUCAUAUUUAUGCACCAGCUACCACCUAACGCCUCCCACUGAGGACUAUACAAGUAUCAGUUAUGUCUCAAUUAAAAAAAAAAAGUCAAUUAUAUCUAAACUUUAAAAAGAGAGAUACGUAGUUAAUUACAGGAGCAAAGCAUGGGCAUGAUGCUGUCCUAAGGUGUCUGGAGGUAACUGGAGCUCCUCUGGACCACUGCUGGUUCCCCAGAUUCCCCUGGUACCAUCACCUCAUCAUCCAGUUCCUGAGUGGUUUUCACCACAAAGAGAUGCCCUUGUGGAUUACGUGAUUCUUCCUGCCUGAUGCUCACCUGCCUGGAUUACUGGACCUAUUCAGGGUCCCUGACUAAACUCCCACUCUCAGAAUCUGUCACCUAGAAGCAACCCAUAAGAGGUAGAUCAUGAACAGGUAUGUUCUUACAUUUCUAUAUUAAGAAAUUCUGGUUUGCCCCUUUAACACAAGGCUGGGCUCAAACUUUGACAUCAGUUUUUAAUCUUGUAAUGCUUCUACAUUUUUAAAAAAAUAUGCUAACACCUUGUCUCAGUUUGGACAUGUAUUUGGACAUUCCAAAAACACAUUUGACAAAAUCACCAUCUAUUUUUUUUUAAAUAAAACAGAAAUGAAAGAACUCCCUAACCUAAUAAAGUAGAUUAAUAUCAGCUCAAAAGUAAAUAGUAUGCCUAAUGUGGAAAGGAUAUCUACUAACAACACUAUUAUUAACAUACUAAAUAUUGAAUUAAAUUCUGGUAGUAGCCAAUAAAGUUAGAUCAAAAAAUAUAAAGGAAUAUAUAUAUAUAAAGGAAAUUACAAAAAAAAUUAGUGGAGUGCCAUAUUAAUUUAUAGAGGUCAAUUCCUUUGACAUAUAAAAUCACAGAAGACAUAAUGGAAGAAAGAACCCUACUUACAAAACAAACUAAAAAUCUAAAAUACCUUGCAAUGAAUUGAACAUAAAACAUUAACCAAAAAAACUGUAAAACAUUCCUAAGGCACACAAAAAAACUUGAACUAAUACAAUCCAUAUCAUUUUAUUGAAUAGGAAGACAUCAUAGAGACGCCUUUGAUGUCACUUCUCCCUAAAUGGUUAUUCUUGAUAAACUGUUUGUUUUCCAUUAAUUUUAUGUGGUCCCAAUAGAUAUACCAACAGUAACAUUAUGGGAGGCUGUCCUGUGCACUGUAGGAUGUUUAGCAGCAUCCCUGGCCUCUACUCACUGGAUGCCAGUAAUAGCCCCAAGUACUGACAACCAAAAAUGUCUGUAGACUUUCUCCAAUGUCCACUGCAAACUCAACCCUGGUUGAACACCACUGAUAGAUACUAAUCUCCAAUAUUAACUGACCAAUGAAAUCCUUUACCUUUUGGUGCCUGAAAGAAACAUUCAAAGUCUAUAAAAUUGGAUUUAAUUAAUCAACAUGUUGAUUUACCAGUAAAAGCAUGUGGGUGAUUCACUUAUAGGUACCUCUAGCUCACUAGCAGAAAACCAUGGAUUGUUGGAGGAUGCAUAGAAUUGGAAUCCAAGACAGUGCUGGUCAAGAUUAUUUGGGGAACUCAUUCUUCCAGCUGAGCCACAAAGGAAGCCCAAAAUCUUUGAUAAUAUUUAUUUUUCAUUUAUAUGAGAGACAAGAUUUUACGUUUUUUCCCCAAAAAGUAUGUUUUAAAGAAAAUCAGGUGAAUUGUAUCUGGUGGAGCACUGCCAAUGGAUAGACUGGCGUAUCUUUUAGUAAAUAAACACCACAAAUCUUCAAUUGCUGUAUUUACAUGCUGACUUGAA